ensembl:lncRNA
CGUUAGCUUACUAUGCAAACAUGACAAGUGAAAUCUCCCGCAGCUUAAACAUGUGAGAGGUUGAUCGCGCAGAGAAUCGCUGAGCGUUAUGUGAGUGCGUGUGUAAAAGCAGCAGGAUAUAUAUUUUAGUUCUGCUGAGCCAAAUAAGACAGGUCAGGGUGAAGAAGUGACAGCCAAAGAAAAGCUUACCACAAAACGGAGAAGUUAUGACAAAUCAGACUAUAAGGCAAAAAGAAAGUGCAGCUUUAUGGUUUCAUGGACAAAAGAAUUUCUGUGGCUGCGAUAUGAUGAGCUAAAUAACCAGGGCUGCACAUAAGUGGUCCGCAGGUGUGCAUUCGCUGUCAAAAUAAAAAACACGCACAAGGGUUAGGGUUAAAUUUAAAAACUGUACUUUUGAGUUAAAAUAUAUAUUUAUAAUUUUAAUAAAUGACAAAUUAAAAAGGCAUGAACAUUUUUUUUGUAUCGAAAAAAUAUCGAACCGUGACACCAAAGUAUCGAACCGAACCGUGAAUUUUGUGUAUUGUUGCACCCCUAAUAUAUAUAUAUAUGUGUGUAAUUUUAACAAGAACUUUAUUGAACAAUCAGUGAGUAUACAACAUACAAACAGAUGAGGUAUACAAGUGGAACAUAAAUAUGAACAACCAGCGGUUAAAGAAAAAAAGAAAAAACCCCACACCGAUAGAGUUGGGAAGCAGGUACCAUGCUUGUUACAUCAGCUAACAAUACUAACUUCCACAACACUCACCAAGACAGUCGGAGGUUAGGUAAAACAGAGCAAAUAAAUUAUUGAGAAAUUAUAAGAAAAUACAUUAGGCAGGAAAGGAAAAAGAAUAACUGUGGAAGUUCAAAUUCACUGGGCUACACGUGCUUUCUUUCUAUAGCCUUUGAACCUUGAAAAAUAUAACCUCAUCACAGUAACGCAUAAUUUUAUUAUGCAUUACAUCCAAUACUGCUCAUACAUUUAGUGAGUAACUAGUCACAAUAAUGCGCACAGAUACGAUUUAUAGAUCAGUCAACACAUUCCAGCACCUUUAGGCAACUGUUUUUGUGAUUUGGUGCUGUAAAUAAAACUGAAAUCAAGUGAAUUUUGACUUAUGGAGUCACACAAACCACCUGCAACUCAACACCUCAAAGACUAAG